UGGGGAAUAUUGGACAAUGGGCGAAAGCCUGAUCCAGCCAUGCCGCGUGUGUGAAGAAGGUCUUCGGAUUGUAAAGCACUUUAAGUUGGGAGGAAGGGCAGUAAGCGAAUACCUUGCUGUUUUGACGUUACCGACAGAAUAAGCACCGGCUAACUCUGUGCCAGCAGCCGCGGUAAUACAGAGUGUGCAAGCGUUAAUCGGAAUUACUGGGCGUAAAGCGCGCGUAGGUGGUUCGUUAAGUUGAAUGUGAAAGCCCCGGGCUCAACCUGGGAACUGCAUCCAAAACUGGCGAGCUAGAGUAGGGCAGAGGGUGGUGGAAUUUCCUGUGUAGCGGUGAAAUGCGUAGAUAUAGGAAGGAACACCAGUGGCGAAGGCGACCACCUGGGCUCAUACUGACACUGAGGUGCGAAAGCGUGGGGAGCAAACAGG
rnacentral:rRNA from 1 species